rnacentral:rRNA from 1 species
CUACGUGCCAGCAGCCGCGGUAAUACGGAAGGUCCAGGCGUUAUCCGGAUUUAUUGGGUUUAAAGGGAGCGUAGGCUGGAGAUUAAGUGUGUUGUGAAAUGUAGACGCUCAACGUCUGACUUGCAGCGCAUACUGGUUUCCUUGAGUACGCACAACGUUGGCGGAAUUCGUCGUGUAGCGGUGAAAUGCUUAGAUAUGACGAAGAACUCCGAUCGCGAAGGCAGGUGUCCGGGCUGCAACUGACGCUGAGGCUCGAAAGUGUGGGUAUCAAMCAGGAUUAGAUACCCUGGUAGUCCACACAGUAAACGAUGUAUACUCGCGGUUUGCGAUAGACAGUAAGCCGCCAAGCGAAAGCAUUAAGUAUACCACCUGGGGAGUACGCCGGCAACGGUGAAACUCAAAGGAAUUGACGGGGGCCCGCACAAGCGGAGGAACAUGUGGUUUAAUUCGAUGAUACGCGAGGAACCUUACCCGGGC